GACGAACGCUGGCGGCGGGCUUAACACAUGCAAGUCGAACGGAAAGGCCCUGCUUUUGUGGGGUGCUCGAUUGGCGAACGGGUGAGUAACACGUGAGUAACCUGCCCUUGACUUUGGGAUAACUUCAGGAAACUGGGGCUAAUACCGGAUAGGAGCUCCUGCUGCAUGGGGGGGGUUGGAGAGUUUCGGCGGGUGGGGAUGGACUCGCGGCUUAUCAGCUUGUUGGUGGGGUAGUGGCUUACCAAGGCUUUGACGGGUAGCCGGCCUGAGAGGGUGACCGGCCACAUUGGGCCUGAGAUACGGCACAGACUACUACGGGAGGCAGCAGUGGGGAAUAUUGCACAAUGGGAGGAAGCCUGAUGCAGCAACGCCGCGUGCGGGAUGACGGCAUUCGGGUUGUAAACCGAUUUCGCCUGUGACGAAGCGUGAGUGACGGUACUGGGUAAAGAAGCACCGGCUAACUACGUG
rnacentral:rRNA from 1 species